rnacentral:rRNA from 1 species
GAUCCUGGCUCAGGACGAACGCUGGCGGCGUGCUUAACACAUGCAAGUCGAACGAAAAGACGGAAAGAGCUUGCUCUUUUCAGAAUUGAGUGGCAAACGGGUGAGUAACACGUAAACAACCUGCCUUCAGGAUGGGGACAACAGACGGAAACGACUGCUAAUACCGAAUAAGUUCCAAGAGCCGCAUGGCCCAUGGAAGAAAAGGUGGCCUCUACCUGUAAGCUAUCGCCUGAAGAGGGGUUUGCGU